CACCCAGCAGCUAGCCCACAACCUAAUAAUACCAACCACUAUUUUUACCCCCAAAUACACUUCGCAUGUUAACUAAAACAUUUUUCCCCUUUAGUACCGGAGAGAGAAAAAGAGAUCUGAAGCAAUAGAGAAUGUACCGCAAGGGAUCGCUGAAAGAGAGUUGAAAAAGACCAGUUAAGUACAUCAAAGCAGAGUUCAGCCCUCGUACCUUUUGCAUCAUGAUUUAGCGAGUGUGGCCAAGCAAAAAGCCUUUUAGUUUAGUACCCCGAAGCUGAGUGAGCUACCUCAGGACAGCCUAUUCGUAGGGCGAACCCGUCCCUGUGGCAAAAGGGUGGGAAGAUCCUAAGGUAGAGGUGACAGACCUACCGAACUCGGAUAUAGCUGGUUGCCUGGGAAUUGGAUAGGAGUUCAGCCUCACUGCCCCUUGACUAAGUUUCGAAUCCAUACUUAAUAGCACAAGCCUUAUGUGAGAGUUAUUCAGAAGGGGUACAGCCCUUCUGAACUAAGACACAACUUUUAUGGGAGGUCAAUGAUCAUA
rnacentral:rRNA from 1 species